rnacentral:lncRNA from 1 species
UUUUUUUUUUUGUAUAUAAAUGUGGAAUAGUUAAUUUGAUUGUAAGGAUAAAAUGUCACUCAGCUAUUGUUGGGUAAAUUUGUAAAUUAAUUUCACCCUAAAAGGCUUCCCACUUAUAAUAUAAAAUAUAAUAUAAAUGAAUAUGAUAUGUGGAACUAAUAUGUCAUACAACAAUUCAAGCAUUCAAAAAGAAUAAUCCUUGCAUAAUAACCGCAUAACUAAUCCCUGCAUAAACAAUCCCUCCGUGUUUUCAUUUUUUUAAAAACAAACGUCAGCUUAAUGCUUUCCUCCGUUUAUCAAAGUAUCCAGCGACAUAACAUUAUAUCGUGACAUUCAAACAUGGGAUCCUUCUUACAUCCAAAUUUGUUUAAAAUAUAGACCAUCAAUUCAUAAGCCAAGAUUCAUCUAAUGGCUUGACAGAUUGAGUGAAAGAUGAAGAGUCCGUGCGCAAUCAAGAUGAAAGAAGAUGAGAAGAAACCAGACAAAAGAUUGAGCUUGAGAAACUAUGAACUGUAUAUAAUAAAGAAAGGUAAACUAUCACAAUUGGACAUCCCCAAAGGCCGGACGUUUUAGUGUAUCACUGCACACAUCCCCGAAGGAGGAAAAGAGAAGGAAAGAAACGAAGCACACUCUCGUCUCUUCCUUUAGUUAACACUUGAAGUAAGACCUACAAAUUUACAGGUAGAAAAAGCUAUGAUUUUCUCUUUCUCAGUCUUCCCAUAUCAAAAUCCAUAAGCCUUGUUGAUGACGACAUAGGAGAAGUUGCUGACAGACCAAUGGAUUCAGGAAUAUCCAGAUCAACUCUCAUAGAAGGGCCUGUUAUUGCUCGUUUAAUAUCAAUCUCGCUCAGCUGAUGGGCUUCAGUUUUUACUUUGGCAAUCUGAGUCAUGUCAGAUAAGUAAAUAGGUAAUACCUUAAGCUGUCACAUUCACAACCCAUUUAUCAGAUAAGAUAAGUUUCAGAAUAAAAAGUGUAGAAG